AAGGACAUGCAUGGAAUAAAACAGCAGUAUUUGACAAAAUACAGAAAAGACCUAAGUUCUAGCUUCAACUGCACUAGGACAAGAAGCAGAUGAACAUGUAUAGCCAGUAUUGGGCCACCAUGCCCGUCCCACCUAGACUCAUACCUUGUCUCAUCCACUCGACCUCGUCCUCAGUGACAAAGCUGCACAAGGCUUUUGCCAUUGCCAGUCGUAUUGCUCCAGCCUGCGCCGACCUCCCGCCCCCUGAGACUGUGCAGGUCACAUCGUGCUUUCCCAGCCGGUCAACAAAGUGGAAAGGGAACAUCAGCUGUUCUCUAAAGCACAGCACAAGUAAAUGUGGUUACGUUUACUAUAAAGAUACAUAAUUAUGUAAACAACUGAAAUUCUGAAUAUUCAUAAAAACAAUAUUCUGCA